rnacentral:lncRNA from 1 species
AGAGCUUGGGAUCGCUUUCUGCUAUUCAACGUCCUCCACCUCUGCCCCCCUCUCGCCCCAGCCGGUGACAGGCUGUUGCCCUGUGAUCUGCAGGUCCUGGGACGUGCACAGACAGCUAAGAUGCCAGGACAUUCCAGAAGGUGGGAAAGGGUGUGAUUUUGACGCACACUUCUGCCCAGCACCUGAGUAAUGUGAUUCUUCAGAAUUGGCCCGGCCCACAAAUAGGAUUGUGCCACACUGCUGGACCCAGUGCCUAAGUGAUGUAACUCUAUUCUUCUGCCUUGGUGCUACUCGAAAAAGACAUUGUAACAUAUCUCAGAGCCUUACACCCAGGUAAUGUGAGUCUCCUCUUCUGCCUUGCUGCUGCACACAGAAGCGGAAUAUGUACAGGAUUGUUAAUCUCAUCUUGGAUCUUCCUGCACUUGUGAUUGUGACACAUGCCUCUGUGUAGAACCUGAGUUUCAACUGCAGCAGAGAUUGUAACAAACCACUGGGCCCAGCCGCAUAAUGAUGUUACUCUUUUGCCUUGGGCCUGCCCUCAGAAGGCACUGUCACAUAUUCAUGGGCCCAACGCCAAGGUGAUAUGUGUCUCCAGCCUGGACCCUGCCCACAGGGGGCAUUGUGACAUAUCUCUUGGCCCAUCAGAUGUUUGAUUGUUAUCCCCUCCCCUCUUCUACCCUGUGUUUGCCUAUAAAAGACACAGUCAUAUGUUCCUGGGCCCAGCACCUAGGUGUUGUCUUACUGGAAUGUGUCCACAUGGGGAUUGUGAUAUGUCACGUGGCCCAGUACUUAACUUGAUGUGACUCUCCUCUCAUGCCUAGGCCUUGUAGAGAAUCCCCUUCCCCUUUUGUUUUCCUUUUUUUCUUUGCAGAUCCAGGAGAUAAUCAACUAAGAGCCAGGCACCCGUUUAGGUCUAAUAAACAUUUUACAAACUGC